rnacentral:rRNA from 1 species
UUUACCUACGGGGCGCAGCAGUGGGGAAUAUUGCACAAUGGGCGAAAGCCUGAUGCAGCAACGCCGCGUGAGCGAUGAAGGCCUUCGGGUCGUAAAGCUCUGUCCUCAAGGAAGAAAAUGACGGUACCUGAGUAAGAAGCCCCGGCUAACUACGUGCCAGCAGCCGCGGUAAUACGUAGGGGGCAAGCGUUAUCCGGAUUUACUGGGUGUAAAGGGCGUGUAGCCGGGCUGACAAGUAAGAUGUGAAAUCCGGGGGCUCAACCCCCGAACUGCAUUUGAAACUGUUGGUCUUGAGUAUCGGAGAG